ensembl:snoRNA predicted gene, 26363
GUCCAUGAUGAUAAAGACAUCUUUACAGGUAAGUCAGCAGAGUGACUAACUUAGCAAUUGCUGCCAGUCACCUUCAAACAAGU